CUCGGGGAGAGGAAAAGAAAGAGGAAAAAAAAGAGAAAGGGAGGAAGAAAGAAAAUGGGUUGGGCCUCCACCGGUCCAACCUAUCAACCCAAUUCCAAAAAAAAUGAAACACCCCGAAAAUAAUACCCGAAUAAAAAUUACCUUUUACUAGCUAAAAUUUACUAUUUUUACCGUCGUCGUAUUUUCCCCAUACGAAUAAUCCUCCGCACAUAAUCGUCCCCGAAACCCCUUUAGGGACCAAUUAAACUAUUUACAAAAUGACGGAGACGGUAAAAUUCUUAUUAUAAUCAGGCUAGUAAAUAAGGUAAAAAUAUAAGGGUCGGGAUGUGACAAUAUAUAUAUAUAAUAAUAAUAAUC
rnacentral:lncRNA from 1 species